rnacentral:rRNA from 1 species
UACGUAGGAUGCAAGCGUUGUCCGGAUUUAUUGGGUUUAAAGGGUGCGUAGGCGGCUCUCUAAGUCGUGGGUGAAAGUCGGCAGCUCAACUGACGGAUUGCCUGCGAUACUGGGGAGCUUGAAUGCGGUUGAGGUAACUGGAAUGGGUGGUGUAGCGGUGAAAUGGAUAGAUACCAUCCAGAACACCGAUUGCGUAGGCAAGUUACUAAGCCGUGAUUGACGCUGAGGCACGAAAGUGUGGGGAGCAAACAGG